rnacentral:lncRNA from 1 species
CCGCCGCAACCGGAAGUACCUGGAUCUGCACAUGAAGUGUAGGAUGUAGCGUGAGUACAACCAAUUCAGUAAGUAACAAAUCCCAAACUGUGGGCUGAAAGUAGUGACGAACUCAACCGGCACAACUCAAUACAGAAAAUAAUAGUGCACAAAUGUAGAAGUGCUUUCAAGCUCGAUAGAUAUCUUAAAACAAUAAAAUGGAUCAAUCUGAAUGAUAUGAAAAAUAUAACUCAUUUACUUCUACCAUGACAAUGCACAUGUUAUAUAUGAUGCACCAUUCUGACAGCCUCAUGUGCUCACACUCUCGACUGCUCAAUCACUCGGUAUUGUAUAUGGCACAAACGGCACAGGGAAGAUCCAUCCCGGAAUAUAUACAUCACUGACCAUCAGUCACCCAGUACCGAGUAAGAAAAAUCCAGCCCGUGGAGAAGAUCCAUCAACAGGUAUAAAAUGCUUCGGACAAGAUCCAUGUUCAGGGAAGAUCCAUCCCUCAAUAAUAUCAAUCGCGCUAGCUGGGGGUGUGUGCAAACUCCGGAGGUGCUCGUUUAGCCCAAGCGCCAUCAUAAAUCAGUAUAACUGCUGCGGUGUGCAGCCCGAUCCCAUAAAUUGCACUCAUAAUAAGGCCAUCAGCCUCACUCAGUCAUCAAUCUCUCCAGUCUCUCUCUCACGGGCUCACAAUAUCAUGAUACUAGCCCGAAAACAAUGAUAUGAUGUAUCAAUAAUUAACAACAGAGACUGACAUAUGAUAUGAAAUGAAAUGAAUGAAUAUGACUGAGUACAAAAUAUCAAUGAAAUCAGUAAGACAACGGCAGGAAACGACCACUAUGGGUCCCAACAAUAUAGACAUAACGCCUAAACAUGAUAUCUAGCAUGAGUGACAGCUCAAUUACUUUAUCACAUGAUGAAAAUACGGAUAUUUACAAGACAGAACCACUAGGAAGUGUCGUGGAAUCGACCAUGUCACAAUUCUCAUGGUGCACGCCCACACGCCCGUCACUUGGCAUGUGCGUCACCUCAAUAUCAAUCACAUAACACAUAAUUUGGGGUUUCGAACCCUCAUAACCAAGUCUGAAAGUAUUACUUACCUCAAUCCGGGCUAAACUUUACUCUAAAAUGCCUUUGUCCCUCAAAUCGGUCUCCAAACAUCCCAAAUCUAGCCACAAGCAAUACAAUACAAUCAAUAUAGGCUAAAGGAAUUAAUUCCACAAGGUGUAUUGGCCCUGCACAAACCGCUUCUGCGCACAAAUGGUCGCAUUUGCGGCCUCUGACCAAAGCAUCCCUGGUCGCUUCUGCGGGCUCUUUUCUUGCUUCUGCGAGCUCGCAUCCGCGGUCCCCAAUCCGCAGAUGCGAUUACACCAGCAGCCCUCAAACUUUAGCAGUUCUUCAACUUCAAAUCUUGAACCGUUAAUCACCCGAAAUCAACCUAAGGCCCCUGGGACCUCAACCAAACAUACCAACACGUCCUAAAACAUCAUACAAACUUAGCCGAAUCUUCAAAUCACCUCCAACAACAUCGAAAAUACGAAUUGCACACGGAUUCAAGCCCAAUGAACUACGAAAUUUCCAAAUUCUACAAACGACGCUGAUAUCUUUCAAAUCACGUCUGAUUGACCUCAAAUUUCGCACGCGAGUCACAAAUGACCCCACGAACCUACUGCAACUUCCGGAAUUGGAAUCCGACCCCGAUAUUAAAAAGUCAACCCCCGAUCAAACUUCCCAAAAAUUCGACUUGCACCAUUUCAAGCCUAAUUCUACUCCUGACCUCCAAAUUAUAAUCCGGACACUCUCCCAAGUCCAGAAUCACCCAACGGAACUAACAAAAUCAUCAAAAUUCCAAUCUGAGGUCGUUUAUACAUAAGUCGAUGUCUGGUCGAUUUUUCCAGCAUAAGAUUUCAAUUAAGAGACUAAGUGACUCAAUUAACUCUAAAUUCACUCCGAAUCCGAACCAACUAACCCGAUAAGUCAUUAACAAUCAUAAAGCACAAAUGUAGUAGUAAAGGGGGAAACAGGGCCACAACUCUCGAAACGACCGGCCGGGUCAUUACAAUUUGCUGUGAAAUUAAUUGACCUCGUUGUAUCUUUGAAAUUGGUUGUGUCCUAUGGGCAAUCUAUAAUAUGAACUAUUGUUUUGUAAUGUCGUGGUAAUAUCCGUGUAAAUUGUUGUGUGAUUUGGGUUACUGUUAUGCGGUGGAUAAGGGUGGCAUUCCACUGUUGAUAUUAUGUGGGUAUAAGGGUGGCAUUUCACUGUGGUUAUGUGUGUUGGGAUAUUGUAUGGGUGAAGCGAUAAGGGAAACUAUUAUAGGAGUGGUAAGGGUGGCUAUAGGAGUGAUAAGGGUGGCUAUUGAUAUUGUCAGGGCGGAGGGAUAAGGGUGGCUAUUGUCAGGGACGAUAUGUGAUGAUGUGGGAUUAAUAUGUUGGUGAAUUUUAUGUGAUGUUAUGAUUUCCUUGUGACUUCUUUUAUAUAUUGUGCAAUUUAUUUUAUAAAUUCAAUAAAUUUGAUAAUAGUCAGAUAUAUGUUGAAAUUAUGAGCCUGUAGAUAUUGCCGGGCGGAUUAUGAUAUGGGCACGAGGUGCCAGAGAAAUAUGAUGAAUUCACUAUUGGCACGUGAAUUGUCCGUACAGUUAUGAUAUGAAAUAUGGGCACGAGGUGCCGUGGUUAUAUAAUAAAAAUGCUAUUGGCACGUGAAUUGUCCGUGCAGUUAUGAUAUGAAAUGUGGGCACGAGGUGUCGUGAGUAAAUGAUGAUGAUAUUGGCACGUGAGUUAUCCGUCCGGUUGUGAUAGAGAUAUUGGCACGAGGUACCGUGAAAAUAUGAAAGUGGGUUGAGACCCAUCAAGGUGACUUUUAUUUGAAAGGAUUAUAUUCAAAAUAUUAUUUGAAAUAAUUAUAUUCGAAAGAUAUUUAUUUGAAAGAAUUAUAUUUGAAGGAUAUUUAAUUGAAAAGGGGUAUAUUCGAAAUAUAUUUAUUGGAAAGGAUUAUAUUCUAUAGAUUUCUAUUCAAAAAAACUUAUAGAUGAAAGAUAUAUAUUUUGAAGGACUUGAUUAUUGGUUGUACUUGUGUUCAUUACCUAUUUGAGAAAUAUUUAUGGAGUUCUUGUUGCCUUGCUGUUUACAUCACUAGUUGAUUAUUGUUGCUAUCAUUGCUAUUUAUUUUCUAUUAUUUUUAUAUACUAUAUUGCACAGGUUAUUAGACUAGUGAGUGUAUUGACUAUACCUCGUCACUACUCCACCGAGGUUAGUCUUGAUACUUACUGGGUACCGACUGUGGUGUACCCAUGCUACACUUCUGCACAAUUUUGUGCAGAGCCAGGUAUUGAAGAUAUCGAACUCGGACAGAGUUAGAGUGCGAUCGCAAGGAUUCAAGGUAGAGUUGCUUGUCACCUCAGUCCCUUAAAGUCUUUCCAUUUUAUUGUACUGUUAAUCAUUAUUCAAACAGUAUUGAGUAUUCGAUCCUUGAUAUCAUUUCAUAUAUUCAGUUAGAGUUCAUGACUCAGUAUUUCUAGUCUUGAGAGGUUAUUUGUAAUUAUUUUCGUUGUUGGUUUCGAUUAUCUAUUAAAAAAAUGGUUUGAAUUGUAAUUAUAAUUAGCUUACUUAGUCUUAGAGACUAAGUUCCAUCACGAUGCCUUGUUGUGGGAUUUUGGGUCGUGACAUUUCGCGAGAAUAACAGGGUAUUCUUGUAGUUGCCUUACUUGUCUCAGUAACUCAGUUCCUUCAUUGCUUGCCAAGUCUUCCUAUAUAGUGAAGAAAAUAGGUUUCUUCCUGUACAUUUGGAAGUGUCAGCUAGAGAUUUUGUUAUGUAAUAGAAGAUUAAAUGACUUCACAUGUUGUCCAUAACUAUGGCCUCUUGAAAUCUCUUAGUCUGAUCAAAGGUGUAUUGCAUUGCCCCACAGUUUGCCACCACGGCUAAUAGAUCUGUUGUUAUAAACAAAAAACAAAUUUAGGUAAAACCAAUAUUUUUGCAUUCACCAUGAGUUCCAAGCAAUUAAGUUGUUAUAAGGCAUAGACUAAUUUGAAACAUACCAAAUUCAACACCGCAAUGCUAUUGUUCAACAUCGAGGAACGUCAUGGUACUCAGUCUCGACGGAGGAGGUAACGGUGCCUCCUUUUCAUUAUUCUUUGGCAUAGACUCCAUGAACCUGUCGACGACCCAUUCAAACUGGUUGAUAUGUAGUGAAUAAGGCUGCGGAUUUCUAACCUUGGCAGUUGAAAUCAGAUACAUCUCAAAAAGUUCGAACAAGUUAUCACAUCGUCUAAUGUCGUCACCAUACAGUAUUACACAAAUUUUUUCCUCCUACAAUGUUAUUAAGAACGAUAAUGCACUAAUUAUUGGAAGAGUAUAAAUGAGAAGAUCUUAUGUUAUAGUUAUAGUUGUAACUUGACUUACGCUUUCAUCCUGGACAAUUAUUGUCUGAAAACGAACUUGCUAAUCUCUGUUGUAUCGCGGUCGAAAUUUGUCUACAGCCUGGACUUUGCAAGUCCAUUCUGUAGUUAGUGGUGCAAUUUCACUGAUGCUAAAUCUUUCUUCCAUUUUAUCAAUAUAACCUGCAUAUUAAUAAUCGUAAAAUUGUAAGAACAAACCAUCCCACAUUACAACUAUAAGACAACAAAUAUACAUAAAAUACACUUGAAUUUUUUUCCAACAGUUAGAAAUUCCUAGUGAAAGUUGGAUCUGGAUUUUUUAAUCACUACAUUUCAGAGUGCUGGAACUCCCUGCUUCACGCGUUCUAUAAUCUCUAUUCCUUUGUGGAAACAAAAAUAACUUGUCAAGAUAUACGUCAUACCAGAACAAUAGAAUAUAGCAUAGAAACCGGCAAGUUUGUACUUUCGAAAAUAUGACAAAGGAUUAAGGACAUACUUCCCUAUUAAUGAAGAUUUACUCAAUUACUUUUUUUGUAAAAUCCAGUUGAUGGCAUAUCAUUUUAUUGUCAAAUAAAUAAUUUAAAACACAACAGUAUAUCAGAUAUACUAAUUUCAUACAGAAAAUGUAGUACACAUAGUCAUAUGAGAAGACAUCAUUUACAACAUAUUUAUAGUAGAGGAAGGCAGUAGAUAAAGAAGCGAAUAAGUACAGAAACAUCUAAACCAACCAUAGAUAGUUAUCUCCUAAGCACAUAUUUUAGUAAAAUGCAAAGUCAUAUUUUGAAUGUCAAAAAGAGUGCAGCAGGCAUAAUUUUUUACUCAUAGAGUGAAAGAUAAGUUUUAACUUCAAAUGGUAAUUUCUACCAGAGAAAAGAACACAUAAUAUUUUAGUAAACCUAGAAAAUAUGAAAAUCUCAUUUAGUUUGCCCUUCUUCGAGACAUAUUGCAGCAUUAUGGCCCAUCAGCACAAAAAAGUUGGUCUAUUCUGAUAACAAAGCGUUAAAAAAUUAGAAAACAUUAAGCAAUAUAGUUAAUGCAAAAAAAUAACUUAACAUAUCAUACUUUGUAAAUGGUUCCUGCUAGAAAAUAGAAGCAUAUUACUUGUUCUCUUUCUUUUAGCUGGCCUUCUCACUCAAGUUUGGUAAUGCAAGUAAUUUUAGCACUAAUAGUAAAGUUUAAUAUUUUUGCCAGUAAACAUAAAAAAAUAUCAACAUCUUUGGUCUAUAAAUAUAGUACAAACAGAAGAAAAAAAAAUAUCAUCAGUAAUUUGGACGUACUAUAUGUCAUCUCGACAUGUAAUAUUUUGCUAGUAUACUUCGCUAUCUUCAAUAAUACCUCUAUAAAUAAGACAACUCCAGUAGGAUAAGGAAAUCACAGCUGACAGACCUUGAUCGUAACAGAAUUUAACAAAAUAAUUUACUUUCUUAGCAAAUAUGAGAUAAAGGCAAUUCACUGGACAUAACAUGCCUUGAAACUCUUUUAAGUAGAUAUCUUAGUUAAUAUCUUUGUGGUAACAAAGAAACUUUUAGGUCCGGAGGAUUCAUUUUUUUCAGGAUAUCAGGCAGUUGUACAUUAAAUAUCACAUAAGGGGCUGCCGAUAGUAAAUACUACAAUUGCAGCACCACGAGUUUAGGUAAAACAAAAAUCAACAUGAACACAGCCCUACUACUCAUAAUAUCCAUUAAGAAAACUAAAUUUUGUUUAAGAAAGCAAAAUCAACAGAUGUCAAAACAAUUUUCAACCAAAAAUAAUCAUAAAGAAUACAAAUGAGGUGGCAAAGAAGAUCUUACAGUGAGAAGGAGUUAACUUUGGGGCUUAAGCUACAGGUGGCUUUAUGUUGUUAUAAACACCAUUUCUUCACAAUGAUACAACCUAUCAAAAAUACACAAACAAAAUCUUGAUAUUCCAUUUUUUGGCCGUGGAAAACUUUGAAUUUUUCAAUAGAAUUCCAAUUCAAAAACAUCGAAAGCAAUAGCACAAAGGUGGAAAUGAUAAAGCCAGGGUUUUAACUGUGAAUGAUUUUUCUUGUUUAUAAAAUAUACGACAAAAGCAGCAUAUUGACUGAUUAUACAUCUGAGUCCAUUUUUUUAUACCUUCAACAAAUGAAUAAAAUCCUCAAGAUAUUAUAACUAAUCAACUUGAUAUCUCAAAUGAUGAAGUUGGCGUUCAUCAAAAUUUUGAUUAUUCAGAAGCUGAUGAUAAUCAUUCUUCUAUACAUAGCAUUUAUAGUAAAAAAAUAUCAAGAAAUUGCACAUAUGGAUAUGCAAAAUAAGUUGUUAUUAAAGAUCAGUAAAGCUGAGUUCUUUGGUAAGGAAAUUACACUGACAAAGGCAGAAAACCAAAGAUUUCAUAAGUGUUUCAGUCUGUGAGAUGAGUAUCUCAAAAAGAAAAAACCUAAUGAGAUGGAACCCAAAAAAUAGAAGAGAGAAAUAAAAUGUGAAAACAGAAAUCCCUAAUUUAAACACCUACCAAUUUUAACCAAAUACCAGCGAGUAAAGAAGAACGACAGAAAAAUUCUCACCAGACGUAUUGUUAUUGAGAAAUCCAGCAAAGGCUCACGGAGAAAACUCGAUAGACGAUAUAGAGGAGAAGAGAUGAUGGAGCUAAGUAAAAUCCGAUGAAAUUUCAUAGAAAACAUCGACAAAUAUCUCAUAGCCCGCUUACUCACCAAAAUUCAGCACACGUGUAAGCGCAGGGAACACAAAAGCUAUGCGAAAAUACUUAAAUACCCCUGUGUCUAAGCAGGGAUAUCGACGGUGAGCUGCUUCUGCGCUCUUCUAUAUAGUAGGAAG